GAUGAACGCUGGCGGCGUGCCUAAUACAUGCAAGUCGAGCGAACAGACGAGGAGCUUGCUCCUCUGACGUUAGCGGCGGACGGGUGAGUAACACGUGGAUAACCUACCUAUAAGACUGGGAUAACUUCGGGAAACCGGAGCUAAUACCGGAUAAUAUAUUGAACCGCAUGGUUCAAUAGUGAAGGACGGUUUUGCUGUCACUUAUAGAUGGAUCCGCGCCGCAUUAGCUAGUUGGUAAGGUAACAGCUUACCAAGGCAACGAUGCGUAGCCGACCUGAAAGGGUGAUCGGCCACACUGGAACUGAGACACGGUCCAGACUCCUACGGGAGGCAGCAGUAGGGAAUCUUCCGCAAUGGGCGAAAGCCUGACGGAGCAACGCCGCGUGAGUGAUGAAGGUCUUCGGAUCGUAAAACUCUGUUAUUAGGGAAGAACAAAUGUGUAAGUAACUAUGCACGUCUUGACGGUACCUAAUCAGAAAGCCACGGCUAACUACGUG
rnacentral:rRNA from 1 species